rnacentral:rRNA from 1 species
AUUGAACGCUGGCGGCAGGCCUAACACAUGCAAGUCGAGCGGAUGAAGGGAGCUUGCUCCUGGAUUCAGCGGCGGACGGGUGAGUAAUGCCUAGGAAUCUGCCUGGUAGUGGGGGAUAACGUCCGGAAACGGGCGCUAAUACCGCAUACGUCCUGAGGGAGAAAGUGGGGGAUCUUCGGACCUCACGCUAUCAGAUGAGCCUAGGUCGGAUUAGCUAGUUGGUGGGGUAAAGGCCUACCAAGGCGACGAUCCGUAACUGGUCUGAGAGGAUGAUCAGUCACACUGGAACUGAGACGCGGUCCAGACUCCUACGGGAGGCAGCAGUGGGGAAUAUUGGACAAUGGGCGAAAGCCUGAUCCAGCCAUGCCGCGUGUGUGAAGAAGGUCUUCGGAUUGUAAAGCACUUUAAGUUGGGAGGAAGGGCAGUAAGUUAAUACCUGGCUGUUUGGACGUUACCAACAGAAUAAGCACCGGCUAACUUCGU